GAAGUCGAACAAGCCUACUGUUGAGAAACUCAUUGCUGAGGUCCGUAACAUAAAAUUACCUCAGGUAUCCAGCGCUGAUGCAGUUGCUGUGAAAUUGACAACGUAAUCAUUUUUCCUACCACAUUGACGACGCCAAAAGUUAUCCCCAUGAUGUUGUGUGGGAGUAGUGGAUCAUCAUUAUUAAUUGUCUGAGGAUCUCCCCGAAGCCUGUUAUGAGGAGCGAGUGGGAAACAGAUCACUCAGGUCAGAUCAGGUCAGCCCACUCAUUUGACCAGUAGCUCCCUGUGCUGUAACCUCUCACAGUUAAGACAUGCUGAAUGUUUCUCGAGUGCACAUGUGUACCCCAUCCAUCAUUUACCCCUGCUCAUCUCUCAUUUUCUCCCUUUCAAAAAGGCUCAAAACAAAUCAAGAAUAACUCAUACCGUAUUAAAGCACAUCAUUUUAUACAAACAUACAGUGAGCACAUAACACAAACAUUUUAGUAAAAUAAGAUAAAAC